GACAAAAUGAAUAAAAGUCCAUGUUAUAACUUCCAAUUCCUCUAUAUAAGCCUCAAUUCUCUAAGCACGAGGAGUGAAUUGAAAUUAGAGCACUCACUUACCCUCCAAUAACUAAAGUAUCGGUUUCUUCUCUUGUUAAUUUGGAAUUAUGUUGAUGGAUUUGAAAUGGUUGUUUUCAAUUCCAAUCAGUGUUUCUUUUGCUUCAACAUUGUUCACCCUAUUGGCUAUAGUAGGAGGCUGGUUGAUAUAUCUGUAUGGGCCGUAUUGGAGGGUAAGGAAGGUUCCGGGCCCACCAUCUCUGCCGCUGGUAGGACACCUUCCCUUGCUUGCUAAGUAUGGCCCAGAUAUGUUCUCAAUCCUUGCCAAGCAAUAUGGCCCAAUCUACAGAUUUCAUAUGGGAAGACAGCCCUUAAUAAUUGUAGCAGAUGCAGAGCUUUGUAAAGAGGUUGGAAUUAAAAAAUUUAAAGACAUUCCAAACAGAAGUACUCCCUCUCCCAUUAAAGCUUCACCACUUCACCAAAAGGGUCUAUUCUUCACCCGGGAUACACAAUGGUCUACUAUGAGAAACACUAUACUGUCGGUAUACCAACCAUCACACCUAUCCAGAUUAGUGCCAACAAUGCAAUCAUUCAUAGAAUCUGCCACUCAAAAUCUUGACUUUCAAAAACAAGAUCUUGUCUUUUCUAAUUUAUCUCUUAAACUUGCAACCGACGUGAUUGGACAAGCAGCCUUUGGUGUCAACUUCGGUCUUUCUAAGCCUCAUUCGGAUUCUAAUGAUAUCAAGAGUGUUACUGUUAAUAAGGACGACUUAAUGAGUGCAAGUACUAGUAAUGAAGUAUCAGAUUUCAUCAAUCAACACAUAUACUCAACAACUCAACUUAAGAUGGAUUUGUCAGGUUCCUUCUCCAUCAUACUUGGUUUACUUGUUCCAAUACUUCAAGAACCAUUUAGACAGAUUUUGAAGAGAAUACCGGGCACUAUGGACUGGAAAAUCGAGCGAACUAAUAAGAAAAUUAGUGGUCGUCUUGAUGAGAUUGUGGAAAACAGAAUGAAUGAUAGGACGCGAAGUUCAAAGGAUUUCUUGUCGCUUAUACUAAACGCUAGAGAAUCAAAAGCUGUUUCAGAAAAUGUGUUCACACCUGAAUACAUCAGUGCUGUUACUUAUGAACAUUUGCUUGCUGGGUCAGCAACCACUUCUUUUACACUGUCUUGUGUUGUCUAUUUGGUUGCUGGACAUCCAGAAGUUGAGAAAAAGAUGCUUGAAGAGAUUGAUGGGUUUGGUCCAAUGGAUAAGACACCUACUUCUCAAGAUCUUCAUGACAAGUUCCCUUAUCUUGAUCAAGUCAUCAAAGAGGCAAUGAGGUUUUAUACUGUAUCACCAUUAGUUGCAAGAGAAACAUCAAAUGAAGUAGAGAUUGGAGGUUACCUUCUACCAAAGUUUUGUACAAGCAGGGGACUUGGGUUUGGUUAGCUCUCGGAGUUCUAGCAAAAGAUCCCAAAAACUUUCCAGAGCCAGAAAAGUUCAAACCAGAAAGGUUUAACCCUAACUGUGAAGAAAUGAAAAGAAGGCACCCUUAUGCUUUUAUACCAUUUGGAAUUGGUCCUCGGGCUUGCAUUGGUCAGAAAUUUUCCCUACAAGAGCUCAAGCUUUCUCUGAUUCAUUUAUACAGGAAAUACUUGUUUAGGCAUUCUCCUAAUAUGGAAAACCCUUUGGAAUUAGAAUAUGGCAUAGUCCUCAACUUCAAGCACGGUGUCAAACUCAGUGUCAUAAAAAGAACAAUCAAGAACUGCUAAAUAAACCGUUAAGAUUGUACUUAUACUCGUCAAAGGAUGAAUUAUAAACUAAUACUAGAAAUAAGUAUGAUUAGAUAUGUAAGAAUGAAAAAUCAUGUUAUAUAACAAUUGAUGCAAGUUUUUGAAAGAGAAA